UUUUUUAAAUAUUUGCACCAGCCAGAAUUCAAGUUCAGCUUUCUGCCUGACUAUUGAUUUAUGCUUCUGAUAGGAGACAGGGGUGUUACUAAAUGUCAAGGUUUUUCAAUGUCUUUGCUGGAUUAAACUGUAAUGUGUUGAAGUCUACUCACCAGAUAAUUCCUCAGCUUUAUGGUGUUUAAUGCAAGCCUGAUAAUUCAGUCUACUACCAAGAUGGAGAAGAGUUAGAAUGACAGGUACUGCGUACAGUUGGAAAUGCAGUGUAAAGCCUCUCUGUAUCUGUAGGCAUCAUCCAACAGUUACUAUGUGAAUCUGUAAACCAAACAGAAAAACUGUAAGCCAAAGACACACACCUCUGUUGGGAUUCUGGGAAAGAGUGAGUUAAAGCUACAGUGGGACCCUGUGGAGUCAGGACCGGACCCUGAGGACAAGAAGCUGGGCUGCAAGCUCUACCACUCAAGAGAGAGUGGUAACACUGGUGAAUCAGCACACCAACGUAUGACUGGAAAAGACAGUGCCAAACCUAGUUCAAACUCCAGAGGCUUAAACCAUUCAGGGAUACAGGAGCUAGGUCCCCUGGUGACAACCUAAUGAGCCGGCAAGCAAAGGAAGGAAGGGGACAGAGCAGAAACAAACAUUAAAACUAAGGAUACUGUAGCAAGUUUCUGCUCAUCUAUAAUUCAGAUAUUCCAGUAAUCUCCAAACAAUCUCUUCCCCUUGGAUCAAUAUUGUUUCCAAACUUGUCAUUUUGUAAGGGGCAAGGGACACUUAGUUAUUUUGUACUGAUGUGUUCCUCACUCUGACAGCAUGAGACCACAGGCCUUAUACCAAACACUUAAUGUUAGUCUUUCAGGUAAGAGGGGAUUUGUGUUUCAAUAUAGCCAAAUUCACAGCACAACUGUCGAUGGUGAACAAAAUUAAGUAAAUUGCAAAGGAGGAAAAUGUCAUCAAGAGACCCUUAGAGUC